rnacentral:rRNA from 1 species
AUUGAACGCUGGCGGCAGGCCUAACACAUGCAAGUCGAGCGGAUGAAGGGAGCUUGCUCCUGGAUUCAGCGGCGGACGGGUGAGUAAUGCCUAGGAAUCUGCCUGGUAGUGGGGGAUAACGUCCGCAAACGGGCGCUAAUACCGCAUACGUCCUGUGGGAGAAAGAGGGGGUUCUUCGGACUUCACGCUAUCAGAUAUGCAUCGGUCGGAUUAGCUAGUUGGUGGGGUCAAGGCCUACCAAGGCGACGAUCCGUAACUGGUCUGAGAGGAAGAUCAGUCACACUGGAACUGAGACACGGUCCAGACGCCUACGGGAGGCAGCAGUGGGGAAUAUUGGACAAUGCGCGAAAGCCUGAUCCAGCCAUGCCGCGUGUGUGAAGAAGGUCUUCGGAUUGUAAAGCACUUUAAGUUGGGAGGAAGGGCAGUAAGUUAAUACCUUGCUGUUUUGACGUUACCAACAGAAUAAGCACCGGCUAACUUCGUG